GUACUACCAAUUCCCUGUCUUCCCGGGCCUCCCUGUCGGCCGCGGGAAUUCGAUUAGAGUUUGAUCAUGGCUCAGAGAAAGCGGGCGGCAGGCCUAACACAUGCAAGUCGAGCGGCAGAGGGACCUUCGGGAUGCCGGCGAGCGGCGGACGGGUGAGUAAUGCCUAGGAAUCUGCCUGGUAGUGGGGGAUAACCCUCGUGAAACUCGAGCUAAUACCGCAUACGUCCUACGGGAGAAAGSGGGGGAUCUUCGGACCUCGCGCUACCAGAUGAGCCUAGGUCGGAUUAGCUAGUUGGUGAGGUAAAGGCUCACCAAGGCGACGAUCCGUAGUUGGUCUGAGAGGAUGAUCAGCCACACUGGAACUGAGACACGGUCCAGACUCCUACGGGAGGCAGCAGUGGGGAAUAUUGGACAAUGGGCGAAAUUUUUGAUUCUGCCAUGCCGCGUGUGUGAAGAAGGUCUUCGGAUUGUAAAGCACUUUAAGUUGGGAGAAAGGACAGUAAGCUAAUACCUUGCUGUUUUGACGUUACCGACAGAAUAAGCCCCGGUUAACUUUCGUGCCAGCAGCCGCGGUAAUUACGAAAGGUGGCAGCGUUAAUCCGGAAUUUACUGGGCGUAAAGCGCGCGUAUGUGGUUUGGAUAAAUUGGAAUGUGAAAAGCCCCCGGGCUCAACCUGGGAAUUUGCUUCCAAAAUUGUCUGGCUUAAGAAUGGCCAAGGGUGGUGGAAUUUCCUUGGGGUACCGGGGAAAUGGCUUAAUAUUAGGAAGGAACCCCCGGGGGCGAAAGGGGAACCUCCUGGG
rnacentral:rRNA from 1 species